rnacentral:lncRNA from 10 species
CCGGGGAAAGUCUCAGCUAUCACGAGAGUCUAGCGGCGGAGCGCGAUUUGAAGGGUACGAGAGGGGCUGGGAGCCGGCGCCAGAGGACUAGUACUGGAAAGCCGGCCGGGACAGGGCGGGGCAGGGCGGGGCCGGGUGGGGCCUGCGCUGCCUCAGCGUCCUGGAGUCGUCUCGGUUCGCCCUUUUGCGUGCCUUCCACCGCCGCGAGCUCGGAAUGUCUGGCCCCGGGUGCUUCAGGGUCCGAGAACCUGCAGAAGUUCACACUUAAAUCCUACACGAGAGUCGUAUUUAUGAUGCAGAACUCGGUGCAGAACCCGAUGGAGUGCCCAAGGCGCUUGAGCCGUUCCUAGAAGGGGAAGGAGAGCCGCGGGCGGCAGCGGGGCAGGGGACGGAAUUGGGAAGCUUGGGAGCAGGAAGAAGGCCAGAGCUACUUAGGAUGGAGAAACGGAGGCCCAGGGAAGGGAUGUGCCCGAGGUCAUACAAAGAAGUUUGUGGGAAUCCAGGCCAUGCGCGGUGGCUCACGCUUGUAAUCCCAGCACUUUGGGAGGCCGAGGCGGGCAGAUCACGAAGUCAGAAGAUCGAGACCAUCCUGGCUAACACGGGACUCAAGACUGGAAUGGGAAGAGCAUGAAAUUGAGCUGUCUAUCCCCCUGGAUCUCUCAUUGCCACCUGCCCAUAGGUUGGCUGCACCCCUCCACCAAAGAAAGGCCAUGACUCCUUCCUGGCAGCCCUGUCUUACAGCUACUCUCUGGUGAUCUGGGAACCACUCCCUCCCUUACCCCUUGAUGCCUAGGGCUAGUGCCAGCACCUUGUUGUUGUUAGCCUCAGAGGCACUUGCACUGUUCCUUGAUGGUUUUCCCAAAUCUUGCCCUCAUCUUUGUAAAUACUGUUUGCCGUUUAUUACACUGUCAUCAUAUUACCCAAUUUGAGUGUGUCAUCUAUUUCUUCCAAGACCCUGACUGAUACAGUGGGUAUAUUUGGAGCCAGAAAAAACAAUGACAACAAAACCAUUUGUUUGAGAAUUAGAAUGUGUUAGGAGAGUCCAUAAUCAGAACUGUCUGAGCACAUUUACUGCUGCCUAUGAACGGUUUAGAGGAUGAGGACAGCUGGCAUGGGAUUAAGGUAACCUUGUCCAGAAAGAUUUCAUUCAUUUAGAAAAAAUUUAUUGAAGGCCUACUAUCAUGCACCAAGCACUACUCUAGGUGCUGGGGGAAAAGGACAAAUAAAUCAUGUUCCUUUCCCUCAAGGAGCUCACAAUCUAGUAGCAGGGGACAGAUAUGUAAACAGUUAGUUGCAUAAAGCAUCACAGUGCUGUAGUAGAUGUCUGAGCUAGAGAUAAGAACUUUGGAAUGGUCAACAUAUAGUAAAGGCAGAGAAUAGAUGGGAUUGGAGACUGUUAAGAAAUGGAAUCUUGAAGGACUGUAAUAAUUGGAAGAAAUGCUAGAAGAGGAGAGUAAGAAGGAAUAAUUAUAACAGUAGUUCGGAUAUAUGAAUCAUUUACUAUGUCCUAGGGACUGUGCUUUACUUAGAUUAUCUCAAUCCUCGUCACAACUCUAUGGGGUGCUGUUAUUAUCCCUGUUUUACAGAUGAAAAAACUAAGGCUCAAAGACAUUAAGUUAUGUGCCCAAGGUUGCACAGCUAGUAAAUGUGAAGGACAGGAAUUGAAUCCAGCUCUGAUUCUAGAUCUAGUUUAUUCUCUUAACUACUAGUACACUCAGCCGGGCGCAGUGGCUCAUGCCUGUAAUCCUAACACUUUGGGAGGCCAAGGUGGGUGGAUCACCCGAGGUUAGGAGUUCAAGACCAGCCUGGGCAACAUGGCAAAACCCUGUCUCUACUAAAAAUAUGAAAAUUAGCUGGGGCUGUGCGCAGUGGGUCACACCUGUAAUCCCAGCACUUUGGGAGGCAGAGGCAGGCGGAUCACGAGAUCAGGAUAUCGAGACCAUCCUGGCCAACGUGGUGAAAACCGGUCUCUCCUAAAAAUAGAAAAAAAUUAGGCAUGGUGGCAGACGCCUGUACUCCCAGCUACUUGGGAGGCUGAGGCAGAAUGGCUUGAACCCGGGAGGCAGAGGUUGCAGUGAGCCGAGAUCGUGCCACUGCACUCCAGUCUGGCAACAGAGCAAGGCUCCGUCUAAAAAAAAAAAAAAAAAAAAAAAAAAAAAAUUAGCUGUGUGUGGUGGUGUGCGCCUGUAAUCCCAGCUACUAGGGAGGCCGAGGCACAAGAAUCGCUUGAACCCGGAGGUGGAGGUUGCAGUGAGCUGAGAUCGCGCCAUUGCACUGCAGCCUGGGUGACAGAGUGAGACCCUGUCUCAAACAAAUAAAAAAAACCUACUAAUAUACUCAAAGAGGCAGGACCAAGGUAGGAAAGAAUUUAAAGGAGAAGUGAGUAGUCAGCCUUGACAAAUCUUACAGCGAGAUCAAAGGAACUGAUGAUUAACGAGAUCCUAUUGGAUCUUGGAAUUAGAAGAUUUGAGGUGCACUUUGCCUGGGCAGUUUCACUAGCAAAGUGUAGUAGGGGAACUAAUUGAAGUAGUCUCAAGAGUAAAUGGGAAGUGUGGGGAAGUGGAGGCUUGUUUUCAAGGCGUUUGACAUCAAAGAGGAGAGAGAAAGUAAAGGAGGAGCUUAGUGAAAUGAGCCUGCCUGUGGAGAAAGGGUCCUGGUUUUAUGUCAGCAGCAGUAGAGUAAGAUCAGUGCAAUGAAGCCUAAUUGUGAGGGCAGACAGAGGGGGAUGGAGGUGAGGUCUGGGGUGCUUGUGUUGUGGGGGUAGGGUAGGGAAGUUCACAGAGAAGUCUCGAGAGUUUAGCUCUGUCCAGGGAACUGGGAGUGAGGAGCCUGUCCUCAAGGCUGCUGCCAAUAGCUUAGUGGUAGGUAGGAAUGGUUG